rnacentral:rRNA from 1 species
AACGAACGCUGGCGGCAGGCUUAACACAUGCAAGUCGAGCGGAGAGAGGUAGCUUGCUACUGAUCUUAGCGGCGGACGGGUGAGUAAUGCUUAGGAAUCUGCCUAUUAGUGGGGGACAACAUUUCGAAAGGAAUGCUAAUACCGCAUACGUCCUACGGGAGAAAGCAGGGGAUCUUCGGACCUUGCGCUAAUAGAUGAGCCUAAGUCGGAUUAGCUAGUUGGUGGGGUAAAGGCCUACCAAGGCGACGAUCUGUAGCGGGUCUGAGAGGAUGAUCCGCCAGACUGGGACUGAGACACGCCCCAGACUCCUACGGUAGGCAGCAGUGGGGAAUAUUGGACAAUGGGCGGAAGCCUGAUCCAGCCAUGCCGCGUGUGUGAAGAAGGCCUUAUGGUUGUAAAGCACUUUAAGCGAGGAGGAGGCUACUUUAGUUAAUACCUAGAGAUAGUGGACGUUACUCGCAGAAUAAGCACCGGCUAACUCUGUGCCAGCAGCCGCCGUAA